UACGUAGGUGGCAAGCGUUGUCCGGAAUUAUUGGGCGAAAAGAGCGCGCAGGCGGUCUUUUAAGUCUGAUGUGAAAGCCCCCGGCCCAACCGGGGAGGGUCAUUGGAAACUGGGAGACUUGAGUACAGAAGAGGAGAGUGGAAUUCCACGUGUAGCGGUGAAAUGCGUAGAUAUGUGGAGGAACACUAGGGGAGAAGGCGGGGCUCUGGUCUGUAACUGACGCUGACGCGCCAAAGCGUGGGGAGCAAACAGG
rnacentral:rRNA from 1 species